UACAGAGGGUGCGAGCGUUAAUCGGAAUUACUGGGCGUAAAGCGCACGUAGUCGGCUUUGCAAGCCGGUUGUGAAAUCCCCGGGCUCAACCUGGGAACUGCAUCCGGGACUGCAUUGCUAGAGUAUGGGAGAGGGAAGCGGAAUUUCUGGUGUAGCAGUGAAAUGCGUAGAUAUCAGAAGGAACAUCAGUGGCGAAGGCGGCUUCCUGGACCGACAUUGACGCUGAUGAGCGAAAGCCAGGGGAGCAAACGGG
rnacentral:rRNA from 1 species